CGCAACAAUCUUAUUAAUGAACCGAAAUUACCGAAUCGAAAACCGUUAAUUUGGUUUAGUGAUCAACCCGAAUCCAAACGGGUACAACGGGUCGUAAUGCGGGUCACCAACGUUCAUCGGCAACUGAUCCACUGUCUUAAACCACGUCCGAGCCAAUUUCCCGGUGAAUCCAUAAUCUCCGAACAAAACAUCAGCCACUCCUUGACCUUCCGUUCCCGGAAGCCACGCCGCCACUAGAGCAUCGAUGUUCGAAAUCUGCAUCACCACCGGACGUCCCGAUACAACCACCACCACACAUUUCACCGAUGCGCACACGUUCCCGAUCGUGCUCGGACCUGGUUCCGAUAUGGUUAAGUUCGUACUGUCUCCGAAUCCCUCCGCGUACGGUUUCUCUCCGACGGCCACGAUUGCGUAAUCGAAGUCACCGGCCUUGACGAAAUUGGUGUCGGGGUUUUGAUUGUAGAUAACUUGCGUCUUCGGAUCCACCGUCUUCUUCACUGCGGCGAGGAUCGUUGUUCCUGCAACAUUCAAUUUCAGACUGAGUGAGGAAAGGUGUGUGUACCAAUGGUGAGAUUGUUGCCAUUAAGGCCUUGCCAUGUGAUUGUCCAGCCACCACAUUGGUAUCCCAAGUUAUCAGCAUGUGUUCCUGCGACAAGGAUCUUAUUGGCUUUCUUUGGCAGAGGAAGCAACGGCUUAUCUGCGUUUUCACCAUUCUUCAACAACACGAGAGAUUUCCUCACUGCUUCCCUUGCCAGUUCCCUGUGUUCCUGUUGAGUUUGUUCAAUGUUAAGUUGGGAUCUAUCUUAAAACUGUUUUUUUAUCUUACAGACCUUACUACCGAGCUUCUUGGCCAAGCUAUGAUCAGCAAUGGGAUUCUCAAAGAGCCCCAUUGUGAAUUUGACUCUUAAGAUUCUCUUUACAGCAUCGUCGAUUCUGCUCAUCGGGAUGAAUUUUCGCUUCACCUGACUGGUUAGCUCGUCGAUUAAUUUGGUCAAGUUUGAUGAGCCCAUGAACUGCAUUGGAAAAUUUGAAUCACUUUCUAUAUCUUUGAAAUUAAGAACCAUUUUUGAGACUGACCAUAUCGAGUCCCGCAGUGGUAGCAGCAUACACAGAGUGUGAAUAAUUAGCACCAAGAGGUGUGUUGAUCUGAUCAACACCUAAAUAGUCGGAGAUGACAAUGCCCUGCAGAGAGAUUUAAAAUCUUUCUCAUGUCAAUACUGAAAUGGCUGCUUCUAGAUGCUUUGCUUAAGCUGGAAUUUUCUAUGAUUAUAGUUACCCUGAACUUGAGUUUGUUCUUGAGGAAACCCGUGAUAAGUUUCUUAUUAGCAUGCAUUUUCAACCCGUUUAUGGACGAGUAGGAUACCAUAACUGUUGCAACGCCCUUGUUUACCGCAUCGUGAUAAGCUGGCAUGUGAAUCCCCAGCAAUCCAUUUGAAUUAAUAACCGUGUUGUUCGCGUUCAUCCCUCUCAAUGUACCUCCAUCUCCAACGAAGUGUUUAGCACAGGCUGCGACUUUGGUCCUGUAAGUUUACCCAGUCAUCUGUCUAACUCCAUGAAUCUUUGCUUCUCUAGAGAUUCAGUAAAGUGUACUUACUUCCCAGCGACGAAAGGAACACCCUUUUGACCGGUGGGAAGGUCACCUUGCAAACCAGAUUAGAUUUUACUUACUGCAAUGCAUGGAGCAAAGACAUAUUGGAUUCCUGUUGCUCUAACUUCAAGCGCAGUUGCUUCACCAAUUCUCUUCACAAGACCAGGAUCCCUAACAGAUGAAUACAACAGUAAAGAAACAAUGUUUUGGGUCUAUCCAUUCAUUUGAAAUGGGAUAUUUUGUAAGAACUUGCCUGGUGACUCCGAGGCCUACGUUAUGCGGGAAAAUGGUGGCGUUGUACACGGUGUUGUGACCAUGAACAGCAUCGAUCCCGUAAAUUAUGGGAAUACCUAAGCGGGUUGAAAGAGCUUUCUUUUGGACCUCAUUCACCAUGUUCACCCAAGCUUCAGGACCGAUAUAUGGCUUCGGCACACUCCCUCCUCCGCUAAACACACUCCCUACAAACAGACUUCUGAAACUGUUGAGUGUUCAUAUAGAUUUUAACAACGUUGUGAAGGUCCAGUAUCAUACCGACGAAGUACUUUUGCAUGACUUCGGUUGUGGCAUUGACACGUUCCACCUGAACCAUCUGUCCGAUUUUCUCUUCAAGGGUCAUAUGGCUCAUCAGGUUCUUGAUCCUGACUCCCAGUGGCUCUUUUGGGUCCUUAUACUUGGCGUUUGCGAGUGGUACUUUAUUAGCUGCCACGGUACAGCAGAGCAGCAGAAGGCCUAACGUUUGUAGCAAGUAACUUGAACUCCCCAUCUUUGUCUUCUCUUUCACUCUCAAUAAAAUAGUCGAGAGCUGAUUAUUGAUUAACCAGUUGAGAAGGGGAAGACGAUCAAGCUAUAUGUUGACGACAACAACGAUGAGUAUUACAAUAUUUCGAACGAGAUAAGGAACAUCAUGAGGUUGAGAUUUUGUCUAUAUGCCUUGUACUUGGGUUGUUUUGCUUGUGAGAUGAUGUACAGAGACGUGUGAAACCAUUUCCGUGACUAGAGAACAUCAACAAAAUGGAUUCUUUCCCUUUUGUCAAAUAAAAUAAAAUCUUUGUAAAAGUAAACCAAUUUUAACUUUG